rnacentral:rRNA from 1 species
CGUGUCGUGAGAUGUUGGGUUAAGUCCCGCAACGAGCGCAACCCUCACCCCUUGUUGCCAACGGGUCAUGCCGAGCACUCUAGGGGAACUGCCCCGGUCAACCUGGAGGAAGGCGGGGAUGACGUCAAGUCAUCAUGCCCCUUACGUCCUGGGCUACACACGUGCUACAAUGGCCGGUACAAAGGGAUGCCACACCGCGAGGUAGAGCUAAACCCAAAAAGCCGGUCUAAGUUCAGAUUGGAGUCUGCAACUCGACUCCAUGAAGGAGGAAUCGCUAGUAAUCGC